UACGUAGGGCGCAAGCGUUGUCCGGAAUUAUUGGGCGUAAAGAGCUCGUAGGCGGUCUGUCGCGUCUGCUGUGAAAACUCGGGGCUUAACCCCGGGCCUGCAGUGGGUACGGGCAGACUAGAGUGCGGUAGGGGAGACUGGAAUUCCUGGUGUAGCGGUGAAAUGCGCAGAUAUCAGGAGGAACACCCGUAGCGAAGGCGGCGCUCUGGGCCGGUACUGACGCUGAGGAGCGAAAGCGUGGGGAGCAAACAGG
rnacentral:rRNA from 1 species